rnacentral:rRNA from 1 species
AGAGCGAACGCUGGCGGCAGGCCUAAUACAUGCAAGUCGAACGGACCCUUCGGGGUUAGCGGCGCACGGGUGCGUAACGCGUGGGAACCUGCCUUGAGGUUCGGAAUAACUUCCCGAAAGGGAUGCUAAUACCGAAUAAUGUCUUCGGACCAAAGAUUUAUCGCCUUUAGAUGGGCCCGCGUUGGAUUAGCUAGUUGGUGGGGUAAAGGCCUACCAAGGCGACGAUCCAUAGCUGGUCUGAGAGGAUGAUCAGCCACACUGGGACUGAGACACGGCCCAGACUCCUACGGGAGGCAGCAGUGGGGAAUAUUGGACAAUGGGCGAAAGCCUGAUCCAGCCAUGCCGCGUGAGUGAAGAAGGCCUUAGGGUUGUAAAGCUCUUUCAGCGGGGAAGAUAAUGACGGUACCCGCAGAAGAAGUCCCGGCUAACUUCGUGCCAGCAGCCGC